GAGGCAAGGGGAGCUGUCCUCCCUCCUCUGGCAUGGAGGAGCACAACUCGGGAGGAGCAGAGGGCAACUUGGGGCCGGAGGCAUCUGCAGCUACCUGUCCCAGGCACCCCAGAGUCUCUCGGGGUAUGCUGAUGAUGGUGACAGGCUCAAGUUGAAGCUGCAGGAGGAACUUUUUGCUGCUUUUAAGCAGCCCAGGCCUGGGACAGGUUCAGACAGAAGCCCAGGCUCUGAGCGCUGGGUGGGAGUCAGGGGGGCUGUGUUACAGAACAGCAAUAGGAAGAGCUCCGAGCUUGGAAUUCACACACAUGCCUGGAUCCUGGC
rnacentral:lncRNA from 1 species